AUGGUGCCGCUCCGCUUAUACCGCCACCUGAUCCCGCAGCUGGCAGCUGCAGCCAGGUCGCCCUCCUGCGCUCCCCGCCCGAUCUCCCGGCUGCCGGCCCUCGCAAUGGCGGCCUACGGCACCGGUGCUUGCGCCGACAGCAAGCUCCUCUUCAGGCAGCUGUUCGAGAAGGAGAGCUCCACCUACACCUACCUCCUCGCCGACGUCGGCGACCCCGAGAAGCCCGCCGUGUUGAUUGACCCUGUUGACAGAACAGUUGAUAGAGAUCUCAAUCUUAUCAAGGAAUUAGGCUUGAAGCUCAUCUACGCUAUGAAUACUCAUGUGCAUGCUGAUCACGUCACUGGAACCGGACUAAUAAAAACUAAGCUGCCAGGAGCCAAGUCUGUUAUUUCAAAAGCUAGUGGAGCAAAAGCCGACCAUUCUGUUGAGCACGGGGACAAAAUAUACUUUGGGAAGCUUUUCCUUGAGGUGCGAGCUACUCCUGGCCAUACUGCUGGCUGUGUGACUUAUGUAACAGGUGAUAGUCCUGAUCAACCCUCACCACGGAUGGCUUUCACUGGGGAUGCCUUAAUUAUACGUGCAUGCGGAAGGACAGACUUCCAGGGAGGAAGCUCCGAUCAGCUGUACGAAUCAGUGCACUCACAGAUUUUCACUUUACCGAAGGAUACCCUGCUUUAUCCUGCCCAUGACUACAAAGGUUUCACGGUAACUACUGUCGAAGAGGAGGUUGCCUAUAAUGCCCGACUAUCAAAAGAUAAGGAAACUUUCAAGACCAUCAUGGAAAACCUGAACCUGUCUUGCCCAAAGAUGAUCGACGUCGCUGUACCCGCCAAUAUGGUUUGCGGUUUCCAGGAUCCACCAUCCAAGGUCUGA
rnacentral:rRNA from 1 species